AUUGAACGCUAGCGGGAUGCUUUACACAUGCAAGUCGAACGGCAGCGCGGACUUCGGUCUGGCGGCGAGUGGCGAACGGGUGAGUAAUGUAUCGGAACGUGCCCAGUAGCGGGGGAUAACUACGCGAAAGCGUAGCUAAUACCGCAUACGCCCUACGGGGGAAAGCAGGGGAUCGUAAGACCUUGCACUAUUGGAGCGGCCGAUAUCGGAUUAGCUAGUUGGUGAGGUAACGGCUCACCAAGGCGACGAUCCGUAGCUGGUUUGAGAGGACGACCAGCCACACUGGGACUGAGACACCGCCCAGACUCCUACGGGAGGCAGCAGUGGGGAAUUUUGGACAAUUGGGGCAACCCUGAUCCAGCCAUCCCGCGUGUGCGAUGAAGGCCUUCGGGUUGUAAAGCACUUUUGGCAGGAAAGAAACGUCGCGGGCUAAUACCCCGUGGAACUGACGGUACCUGCAGAAUAAGCACCGGCUAACUACGUG
rnacentral:rRNA from 1 species